AUGGAGUCCUAUUGUGUUGUGAAAAAUGUGGGUCGGAUAUUUGGGUGGUAGGUGCGGUAACAAACUUUCAUGUGUGGGACUACAAGCCAACAACCCCUCACUCCCAUCACUGCCACAAGAACCUGUUAUUAUUAAGAGGGGUUUGUGAAAGGAACUUGGAUCUGGUGUCUACUCUCUUGGUCCGAAGUUUGGCUUCCUUCGAGGAUGUGACGGCAAUGACAGUCUAGUUUAUGCUGCUUGAGAUUAGGGUUUUUGUUAUUUGUUUUUGCAGCUCUCAUUAUGUCUUCGAGCCUAAGCUUGUGUAGCUCUCCCGUUGUAUCUUGAGUUUGUUGCUCUUAUCUCACUUGAGGCUUUUACUUUAUGUGUUGUUGUUUACCUAGUUCAUGUUGGCCUUAUACUAGUUUUCAAUGGAAUGAAAGCUCUCUUGCUUGACAAAAAAAUAAAAAAACGUAGUGGUAUUUAAUUGGAUAUGUUGACAAACUCUCUAUUACAUGGGAUAUUUUUUUUCAAAUAAACACUUUAAAGACGUAACAUGUUCUAAUUUGUUAUGAGUGUAAUUUUAUACCCGAUUUAAGAUAAAAAUAAUAAACUCUUUACAAAACAAAACCCUUAAAAAAAAAAAAAAAAAGUUGGAGAAUGUAGGAUGAGAGCGG